rnacentral:rRNA from 1 species
GACGAACGCUGGCGGCGUGCUUAACACAUGAAAGUCGAACGAAGUGGCGAACGGGUGAGUAAUACGUGGGUAACCUGCCCUCCUUUUUGGGAUAAGCCUUGGAAACGGGGUCUAAUACCGAAUAAAGGGGGAUGGGCUCGCGGCCUAUCAGCUUGUUGGUGGGGUGAUGGCCUACCAAGGCGGUGACGGGUAGCCGGCCUGAGAGGGUUACCGGCCACAUUGGGACUGAGAUACGGCCCAGACUCCUACGGGAGGCAGCAGUGGGGGAUAUUGCACAAUGGGCGAAAGCCUGAUGCCGCGUCGUCUCGUGGGGGAUGAAGGCUUUCGGGUUUUAAACCUCUUUCUCGUCCGAAGGGGUAUGUUGAUAACAAGCGUCGUCUAUCUCCUCGCCAGCCGCCGCGGUAAUAC